rnacentral:rRNA from 1 species
UGGGGAAUCUUGCACAAUGGAGGAAACUCUGAUGCAGCGACGCCGCGUGAGCGAUGAAGCCCUUCGGGGUGUAAAGCUCUUUCGACGGGAACGAUAAUGACGGUACCCGGAGAAGAAGCUGCGGCUAACUACGUGCCAGCAGCCGCGGUAAUACGUAGGCAGCAAACGUUGUUCGGAAUUACUGGGCGUAAAGAGUGUGUAGGCGGUUUUGCAAGUUUGGUGUGAAAUCUCCCGGCUUAACUGGGAGGGUGCGCCGAAAACUGCAAGGCUCGAGUACUGGAGAGGAAAGCGGAAUUCCUGGUGUUGCGGUGAAAUGCGUAGAUAUCAGGAGGAACACCGGUGGUGUAGACGGCUUUCUGGACAGUCACUGACGCUGAGACACGAAAGCGUGGGGAGCAAACA